GUAGCUGAGGAGAAGGAGACCUGAGUUAAUAAGGGAGUAGAGAAAUAUCUCCAAAAUAUCUUCAUGUUCUAUUUAUGUUUGGUUUAGCAAGAAACACAAACAUAUGAAAUUGAUUUUAUUUCCUUUUUCAAAUACCUGAUUGUACAGAUGAAACAAAGUACUUUUUGUCCAGGAAUUGAAAAAGUUCUGGAUUAAUUCAACUCUUUCUGUGACGUCAGUCACUGGGAGUUGAUGUGUGUUUGAUUAGUGGGACUGGAUUCUUCAGCCAUCAUCAGAGAUGAUGUACUACUGCUCCUUCCACAGCUUCCAGCCAUGCACCUGUUCCCCUCGUCCUGCUGUAUCUCCUGCGCUCACACACACGAAACACACGCGCCUGUGGUUUCAACUUGGCUUUUUCUCAUUAAAAUUUGACAGGUAUUUGACAGCGCAGGUUUCCACAUAGAUCGUGCCACGGUGACAGAUCUCCGACAGCUCGAUGAUAACUGCUGCCUUAUGGCAGGAAACACACGUGUCCCUCCCGGGUUACGACAAUAGGCAGCUGGGAGUGAUGGACGGAUCUGAUGAGACGUCGCAGAGCUGGAACAGGUGGAAAGGAUUCACUCCGGGACAGGAACAAGAUAGGGACUGGGAACCUGUGUGAGGUCACUGUGGGACUGACUGCAUACUGCAGUGCUCUCUUCCUCCCUUGCCUCAUCCUCCUCCAACCCGCUGCUGGUAAAUCCGCUCCUUAGCGCUGCUUUUAACAUUGCUCCAGCGUGCAGUCUUUUUAACGCUGUCUGGCGUUCACUCCUUUCCCCGUGCCCUCUGUCAACAGUAAACUUUCUGAAAAGCGAGCUUAACAGGCCGUGAAAGGGCGGCACAGAUGGCUACAUCCUAGGUGGUAAUUAUCAACCACUACCUCCCAACACACGAAAAAAAAAAAAGAAAAAAAGAAACAAGCCAAGGUGUUGCCGUCAGGUCAACUGAUGCCAUUGACACGUUCGUAAGCUCGCUGGCAAGUGAGCUCGAAGCAACGUACAGAAAUGGGCCUUCUGGAGGCCAGACAGCACGUUGACAGUGUCACAGGUCAAGCACGGCCAUAAGAGGAUGAUUUUUGGCUUCAGUGCACAUCAGCCAGACGGAGAUCUAUAUUAAAAACACAAAUCUGGUUGGCAAGAAAAUAACAGUUUUUUCGUUACACUACUGCAGCCAGGCGCUUGCUUAGCUGGAUGUCACGUCUUGUUUAAGUGGCGUUCCUGAGACGUAUUUUAAUUGCAUUCUAAUGGGCUGGUUCUGAUGCUGUGUAAUGUACAGUAGGCAGGCAAUAAGAGCCAAUUAGUCGGAAAGUGUUUCCUCCAGCACAAGGUGUUGGUAAUGUCUGAGUUAAUGCAGACUCUCAACAAGCAAGAGGCUGCUUUUUGAAGCGCUUAAGCAUUUAUUUUGCUGGGGAUCUAUUAAAAUAGAAGGUGACAGCUAAUUUGAAUCCUUUUUAAUUUGGGGAUUCAAUACACUACAAGGUGAUAGGCGAGGGUCCCCUACCUCCGUACGAGCCGCCCGCCGCAUGCAAAAAUAUGUAAAUGCUGCUCGUAUUAGAAUCUUUGUCUGGUUGUCAUUCUCACAUGGGGCACAUCAAAGCCAUAUGACCUGAUUUUGCACCUGCUGUUUGAUUAAAUUUACAAGACAGACACAGUCUCCACUCCCGGUGAUAUACAAAUCUGGCUUUAUUACCCCUGCACUGUAAUUUACAAGGCAAUUUACUGCUGGGAGGUAACGGUGCCUGCCAAAGUGCUCCCUCUGAAAAGGUACACAAACAGGCACAACAACAAGUUAUCCCAUUUCCCUUACUGAAGAUGAGACCAACAAUGCCAAGACCACUCGAUAAAAUCUAACUAGGGUACUAGUGUUUGGGUUCUUCAGGCCCAGGAGUCAUCUGAGGUUUGUUUAGUUGUCAAACUGAUUUUAUUGUAAAAACCUUCCAUGAACAUCUCAAAAAUUUAUGAGACCAAGGGUUGAGUUUACAAGAAACAUGUGCAGAUAAAUUGCAUUGGAUUCAUUUUAAAGCAAAAAGUGACCAAGGCUUACAGUGAAGAAGUGAAAGAUUUGUAUUUUGCUUUAUCACUCCAUACAGGAAAUCCAGGGUUUGAAGAGUAACAGACUCUUUCCCCAUGACAACGGAGAUUCAUGAAGGCUUAAUGCUCAUCAACAGCUACCUACUAUAAGUUGCUAUAAUAACGUCCAAAACAGCAGCAAAAACUGCCACAGCUUCCACUGCAAGACAGCAUUACCACAUGUUCAACAAGCCCACAACUGGCCCACUUUUUCCUUUUGUGUGAGGUGAAGUCCAUUGAACAGUUGUUCUCUUGCCCUUCACAAACACCGGAGCUAUGUGUCUAUUUUCUCUGGUCCAGUUGCCUCAACUCUUUCUUACUUCAAGGCUCUUUCUUACUAAAAUGCCUUCAUUUGGCGACACCUAGUGGUGCUGUAGAAAAGGACACUGUAAACAGCAACGCAGGCGAGGGAAAUUCAAGCCACAUACAGCACAUGCAAUAAAUGAUUAGCACAAAAAAAGAAACCACAAGUGCUUACGAUGUAUUUUUCUACUAGAAAAAUAGGGUUUUGCUCUUUACAAACUACAAUUUAAGAAGAUUAUUAUGAACAAGGUGACCAUCAGGUGCGCCCGUGAGCAUGCAUGUGAAUCUCAGAAAUGCCCCCGGUUGAAGUUGCGUGUGCAUCUUAGGCAAUCCAUAAUAGAUGAUGAAAUUUGGCAAGCCGUCCGGCCUUAUGGUCCUUUCCUCUUUCUGCAGCUGCUUGUUUUCCCAGAACUCAUCUGUGCUGCUGACCAAGAGUUGUGUGUGUAGAAGAGAGAGAGAGAGAGCGAGAGAGAGAGAAAGUGUCCGUAUGUCACUGUCUUUGCCCACAAGCACUCCACGAGCAUCUUUCCAUUCCUCAAUAUGUCAGACUUGAAUAUGGAAACGGGCAACUUUUCAUCACUCAACCACCAUGUGCACAUAUGGCCACAAAGCUGAUGGUGAAUGUCAAAGUUGAGAGGAAAGGCCAAGCAGCGGUGACAAAGCGAGAGCACCGCAGACAUCGAGGCCACACUUGUGACGGACAUAGAUCAAAGUACAGUUCUGGAGUUUUCCUUUAUAUGUGAAAUGUGAUCAUUUCACAGAUGUAUUUUGAAAGAAAAUCCCACCAGAUAUGACUCUGGGGAAAUGCUCUGUCCAAGGGUGAGUCCGUGCUAAAGUAUACAGUUUUAUCUUAUUGAAAAAACUUUUCUUACUUUUUUAAUAUUUAUUUAUUUAACUUACCUUGCUUAAAGAAUUGUGUAUGUGUUGUCAUAUUGCCUGGCACUUUCACAUGUAAUAAAUAAGAGCUGAAGUUAAAGCUUACGUAAUGUUAAAUUUAGCUACUAAAACCUAAAGAAAUUGUAGUUUUAGGUAAAGUCUUUUCCUGGGUCUCCAGGAAGUGCAUGGCGAGGUGUAUUCGCCACUUAACCCCCCAAAAACCACUAACUAACCAGCUGCUGGCGGCUCCAGAUGAAAUCUACUGAUAUGUCUAUAAUAUGUUAUUCCCCAUAUUGCAUAUAUUUCAGGAAAGGUCUACUUCAAAAAUGGUUUAACCACAUUCCCAGAUCUCUGCAUUCACCUAAUAGCAAUUAAUGCCAAUACUUGAGUGAAAAUAUCCAUUGUCCUUUAAGUGAUCCGGCCCGUAGCUCCAAAGAGUCUGUUAAUCUAACUUUGACCCUUGGUGUCUUGUAUUCUAUGUUGUAAAUGUCUAAAGCAUCUUCAGCCUUUGGCCUUGGGCAUUCUGGAUCAAUUCUCUCAAAGUCACUGACCCACAAAAGUUCUAAGCUUCUCCUCUUUUUUUUUUCUAGCGCACUGGUGUCCACACAAACAGUGGUGAGUGUUUCAUGAUUGAUGGGCUAUUGGGCCGGUAAGGUGGGAUGCCUGUGCACAAGCUGUACAGCAGCUGUUUUCUCCGAGCUCGACGGAGAGAUAGAGAACGUGUGUGCAAAAGUGAGAGAGAGAGAGAGAGAGAGAGAGAGGUCGAACAGAAAGCGUAGGGAGGGCAAAAGGAGGGCGAACAGGAAAAGCAAGUCUACCUUCCACUUGCCCUUCAGGCAGACCAGGUGUCUGCAGCUCCACGCUGAGUCGUACCACAGAAAGCUGGCACGGCUGCUUUCAUACAGGUCCUGCUCAUCGUUCUCUGCUUCUCCAAAGGAUGGACGCAAUUAACACACACACACACAAUGAGCACACGGGGAUAAAGAAAACGGGCUGAAAAUGACAACGCCCCAAGGCCCAGCACAGGGAGAGAAAAGAGAAAAGGGGGGAGGACAAAAGCAAAGAGAGGGACCCAGAGAAGCAUGGCAGAGACUUUUUUUUAUAAAGGGGCAGGUGGGGGAUUUGAGUGACUCCCAGGUUGCACUCUCCUUUUGUUUCAAUAUUAACGUUGCCACCUUUUUUUAAGCCCCCCCCCCCCCCCCCUCUCUCCCCCUCCUCUCCUCACCUGCACUGCUCCACUCCUCGCCGUGUUCUGCUGUUCGCUCAUUUUCAAGUGCUCCCAUCUCGCCCAAAACUCUGCAGGAAACACACAGCAGUCAAAGAAAGUUUGGCAGAAACCUUCAGGCCUGAAGCAAUGUUUUUCAUUCCUCAAUUCCACAGAUAUAAAAGCUCCGGAUGAAAGCAACAAAAAAAAAAACUCCUGUACCGAGAGCUGACAGCAUUACACACCAGUACCAGUGUUGGUGAAGGUUAGUGACUAAUGUGACUGGUUUCCAGUUAGCAAGCUGAUGGGGGUGCUCUCACAUUGUGUAACUCUCCUGCUAAACCAACUGUAGAGACACACCAGUGAAAUGUCCCAGCAUCUCAAGGGGGUGAUGUGACAGACAGGACUGCAGCUCGAUGCAAUUUGUGUAAACACCAUUAUCAUAGCAGGUAUCUUUCUAAUCCUGACAAAACUGAUUUCAUACAGCUGCUACAUUAGAAAAAUGCUUUGCCGUGUCUGUGUGAAAUACUUGCAAUGUUUGUAGUGGAUGCCAUUAAUAUUAAGGGGUGAUCUAUUGCAUUAGGAUUGCUAUUUCAUAAAGUCUGGGAAUUCCCAGAACAGAAUGUAAAAGAAUGUUAGGGACCGCAGCAGCCGAGGACAAGAUGUCCGGAUAGGACAAGCUCCAAAAACGUUGGACCGGUGAAAACAUCACAGCAUUAUUUUCACAAGCUGAGUAAGACCUUGGAUGACAUAUGAAUUAUCUUUUAGGUCGACAUGGUCAAACACAAUAGAAAAAUAGUUCCUUACUCAAACAUCCACCACGGUGUCGGUGAAAGGUAUGCUUUAACAAUAUUAGCAACUAGGUUUGUAUUUCCAGUUUCUAUACAAUUUGUGAAUGUGUGAAACCAGUCUUUAUUUUGCUCUUGAGCUGCUAAAUGUUCAACCCCGUUGAGUAACUCAUCGCUAACUUUGUAUGCUUGGUGUUCGACGGCUUAUGAGGUUUUAAGAGCUCUGACAAUACAAACAGUCCCUCACGGGAGCAAUGAGAGAGAACAGAAACGACUACUGCAGCCUAGUCACACAAAAGUAGUCAGGAGAUCCACGUUGAUUUAAAAAAUACGGAUUGUGAACGCUUUAAUGUCACUUCAUGUUGGACGUUUCCUUUUAUAGACUGAGAUAUCCAUUGUGAUUAAGCUAAUAAGUAUCCUUAUGGAAAAAGGUUAUUCGAAUGCAAAACCAGUUUUCUCCCCGACACUGAAAAUUUUACCCCUGUGUAAAAGCAUCUUUUUAAUACAUAUAUGAGUGACCGAGCUUCCAUGUCAUUGUUUUAUCACACAAUGCAUUCAUUGUCGUCCCUACAGAUGUUGUCCUUUUUACUGAGAGCAGUACAUAAGUAUAAAUACAAUUUUCGUAAUGAAAUUGCAAUGUAUAAUUUAAUGGUGACGUUAGCUCGGAUCAGCAUAGAUGUAGAGGUAGAAAUGAAUUCUGUGUCUCUAACAUGGAACUUUUGUAAUUCUUCAUGCUGAUGGAAAGUAUUCUUUGAGCCACGACAGAAGCUGAGGUUGGAGAGGAAAAAAAACCUCACAAAUGGCCAAAUGUCACUAAUUAGUUUGAACUCUGCAUUUUUGAUGAAGCCAGUUGGUGUGGUGGGGUGGUGGUGUUGGCAGGGGGCUGCACAAUGAGGGAGGAGGGGGGGGGGAUUGAUGGGCUGUGCCUCAAAAUGUAAAUUAAACAAAAGGCGGGAGUUCACAUGACAGCUUUUGAGGGGCAGGGUUGGAGCUUUCUGGUUUUCUUUGUGAGAAGGAGAACAAGUGGAGCACAGUGCACCAAACGCUGGCACAUGGCAAGCAGCUCGGAGGCAGCGGAAGCCAAAUAACUUCUGUUCUAGGGAACAACAAAGGAGGAACAAACAGUGUGGCCCACAACUUUUUGGUCCUUAUUAUUCUGUGAUUUCGUAAUCAAGAGGAUGGGAUCUGAUCUACAAACCAUGGACAGCUGGUUCAUUUCCACUGCCGGGCCUUGUGGGAGAUGUAGUUUCUUCUCUCAACGACAUAUGCAAAUCCCAACUGUCCCUCCCCUCUCUCUCCGUAAUUGCCGACUUUUCCGUAACAGAAGGAGGCCCAUUUGUGUUGUGCGUGUGUAUACGUGUGUGCGUGUGAGUGAGAGAGAGUGUGUGUCUGUGUGCGCAGCCUGCGAUCUCGUCAGGGUCCAGCCUUAUUUAAAGGGAUAAAUAAAAGAUGCACAGUUCUUCUAAAAGAGCCCGGCAGAAGGUAGGCGCAGACACGCAGGAUACAGAGGGCUUCUUCAGAGAAUCUGGGCCGCUCUCGGCACUGCAUCGAUUUUCCAUUUGGGUUUCACAAGGUUCAAACACACGGCAUUGUGGGCCGCAGAUUGUGUUGCCUGGGCGUCCCUGAAGUGACAUGUAAGAAGCCGGCCCCCCCAUCUGCUUGACAGAUUUGUGCAGGCAGCCCCUGAAAGCCUUGGCAGAGGGAGACAGGUGGGGAUGGACAGACAGCCAGACAGACAGACCGAAGGACGAGUGCCACUCAACACUCCUCAGCCGUCACCGCAGCAGAGGAACUGAAGCUAACUUUGCUGCUGACAAGCCGCGGCAGACAGGCCACAGACCAAACUUUGCCAAAGCAAGCAGCGGUCUGAACCUGCGGCGGCCUGAAAAGAGCGACGGUGGACCGAUGCACCUGCCUGUAAGCUGGUGGAAGCUCCGCCGGCCCGGGAACAGACCUGCUGAUGAUACACCCUGACAGCCUGGAUCAGGGUAAAUUAUGGUAAUGUCAUGCAGUCAUCUGCCUGGUGCCAUUUGACUCGACAAAAACACUUAAACACUCCAUCUAUUUCUCUAAGUGGGAAGCAGAGAAGCCAUCUUGGAUGGGUGGGCCUGGGUGGGUUUUUUAACAGGAACAGAGCAGAAGAAACCUAGUGACGCUCCAGUGACAUCCCACAGUCUGUUCAACACAGAGGCAGGCGGACAUGCAUCAUCGAAACCUGCCAAAGUGGUCUGAUGUGUUGCCAUAUAUUUAAAAUGAGAGGACUCACAUGGCAAUGUUUACUUUUCUUUUUGUGGCAUUAUAUUGCAUUUCGAUUUCAGACUAAGCUAGCAUUGUCUUUUUAUAGAAUUGUUUAGCAUUGUUUGCUCUAUAAACUUCAUUCCACAUUUGUUUAGAGAUGCAGGGGUGGAUCCUAAAUAAGCAAAGAUGGUUUAAUAAAGUCGCUGGAAGGACAAACUUACUGACGACAAGAGCGAGUUUGAAGCUAGUCCUGCAAGGUAAUUCAAUUAGCUCAGCUCAAAGACUGUAGGAACAUGUUUAGCAUCUGCCUGUCAAAGGUAAAACGAAAAUGCAACUCUAAAGCUCACGUCGCCUAACUAGGGAAGAAGCGAACAAGCGUAUUUUUAAACACGCACUCUCAAAAUGCCUCUCUAGCAGGAUACCAUUAGACAUGCUUUUAGCGUGAUCAUAUUAAACUUGUUAAGGGCCACGAAGUAAUGACUGUUCAAUCAAAUCAAUGCUCUCAUUCAAACUUGGAAUCAAUAACAAUAUGUUCUCAUUAUGAAAUGUAUCUUCCUGCACUGCUGAGCAGCUGCUCUCCCCCUCACUUCUCUAUCUCCUUCUCUCGCUCACUCGACCCGCUGAAACUCAAGACGCGGCUAUCAGUGCGUCAGAUAGACACAAUCGAUACAAAACGUGUCAGCGGGAGGUUUGUCAGACUCUAUAUAGAGAGUCUGAUUCAAUGGAAUGACGCAGUUGGACUGCUGUAUAUCAGUUCCUCGUCCCCGCAAGGUACACCGGGUUACGAUGAACGGGAAUGUGUAUCUUAUUAUUGCGGCAGUUGCUUAAGUCAGAGCUACGGAGGAGUACAAGGGACAGAUCUUAGAAUACAUUUCCAAUGCACUGACAAAAACACAAGAGAAGGACAUCAGCAACCAGAACGGUAACCAAGCACUGAUCUACAUCUACACAUCUACAAGGACAUGUUUGUUAUUUCUGGUAUCCCGUGACAACCAAAGCUACAACCUGUAUGGGAUUGUUGAUUCCCAGUUGGUGCAGUGGGAUGGUGGUGUUGGCAACUCCCAGAGCCAUGCACAAGGAACCUCUGGCCAUUACCCAGUAUUGAAAAUGAGUCUCAUUAACACUCAAUUUCACACCCAACAUUGAUGUCACAGUGUACUAACACACGUUGGAGUAGACGUAUACAUCAUUGCAACAAGGUGAGAAGUAAAAUCCCGGCAAAAAAAUAAAUAUAUUUUCACCUGCUCUUAAGUUGUUACCAGGAAGCUUCAUAAUAAAGACCAAUACAGUUUUGCAAAUCAAAUUUAUGAAAGUAUAAGGGGUCAGGAAUGUUUCAUGAUGAAAUUAAUAAAUGCUGAGGUAAUAAGAAACCUGGUUUUCUCGUUUGACAGAAUAACUCAAAAUCAAAGCCAAAUCGCCAAGCAAAUGACAACACUACUAUCAACCCAAUGCAAACAGUAAGAGCAGUGUGCCGCAAUACCUCUUGUUCCUUUAACCGAGUCUGGAAAACACAGAAAUUAGAGCAUAAUUAAUGUUAAUAAUUCAAGGUCAAUCCUAUUUACCCUCAACAAGAACUCUUGUACACAUUUAACUUCAACGAAGAUGACUGAGGGCUCAAUUUCCGCGGUGCUGUGUACUCUAUUUCCCUGAAACAGCAGUGCCUUAUUUGGUAAGUGAUAUUUGUUUAGAACAAAUUGACUAAUACCAUAUAUUCAUUUAAAAGAACACAGAUGGACAGGGCAAACAGCACCACCUGCCUCCCCCAUCACCAUGAACAUGUAUAUUUAUGCUUUUCCAACUACAUUAUGCAAAAUGCUUAAAGGAGAAAUCCAGCCACAGGAUGACGUAAAUGUUUGGAGCUGGUAUUUAACUACUUACAUUCACACACAACAAUUAUUAAAAAAAGAACCCGGAAAAGAGACCAUAUAGGAUUGAGGAAGCGCAGGAGGGGGCACGGAGAGAGUACAUCAGGCCAUUGCUCUGUCUGUGGCGCGCGGUGGAGAUAAAUGUCACUUCUAACCCUCCGCUGGCCUUAUGCAGCACAAACGGAGCGACAGCUCUCCUCUUAUCGUCAGCUGCUGCUCUCUCCCUCUCGCUCUAGAACAAUUAGCUUUAUGGUGGCUUAGCGCCUGUGAAAUGUCAUUCUGCCAGGUAAGCUAGCUAUUAUAUCACAAAGGCUGCAGCUGAGUCAAUUAUACAGCAAUAGGGGAAGAGGGGUAAAGAGCAGGAGAGGAAGAGGAGGGCCCCAGAACCGGGGCAAUGAAUUCAUGAGUUCAUCAAAGGAGAGGCCAGAGAGGUCAGCGGUGAGAGAGGCCGGGAGGAAGCAAGAGAAAGAGGAACCGGGAUGGAGGGCUUUAGUCCUUUAGAUUGCCAAUGCUAUGCUAAUAUGACAUUUGCAUAAGAGGAGACUACAUCAUCAAAUCAAAUAACGCACAAAUUUGGUUAAAAGGCUCAAUAUGAGUGUUUGCCUUUUGAUUUAAUAUCCUUCACUGUACUAGAAAUGAAUUGGUUGGUGGAAAUUGAAUGAAAUGAACAGGUAAUAAACAUGCAAUCAAAACCACAGCGGUUAGAUGUUAUACAUUUUGGUAUUUCUGCUCUAACCAUUUUUUUGUCCACUGUUCUCUUGUCUCUUCCUGCUUUGUUGUACUCACUGAGAUUUCUCUUUCAUUACAUUUUUUAAUUUGAUUGCUCUUAUCUUCACAUAUGGGAGUUUUAUUUCUACAGAGACAAAGUGCGUUCGCGCACUUAUUUCAAUUUAUUAAAAACAAUAGAUAAGACACAUGUAAAGUUUUAUACUAGAGAAAAAAGUGGUAGUCCAAGUACCACAACAUAAAUAUAUACACAUUAAGUUUUUACUAUAUGUCUGUUUUGUCCUUCACUUGUGACAUUUUUGCAGAGGAGAAAUACGGCAUAUGAAGGGAGAGGACAGAGAUAACCGAAAGCUAUGAGGAGCUUGUCACAGGCGCCGUCCUCUCUGCAGAGUGACCAGAUGGAGUGUGAUGCUCAGGGCACACAAAGGUGGCCCCUGGGGGGCCUCCUAUCCUCACCCUUUCACCCCUCCUCACCCCUAAACUGGAGUUCUGGAUGGGCAAAGGGACCAGGUCUCUGCUGCAGAGGCCACUGCCCCCCUCCCUUCAACCCUUUCCCUCCCGCGGCGGACAUUGCCCAAAUGCCAGCACGUCCCACCUGGGCCUAGCCAAGCCUGUCCUUACUGUCGGCGGGGGGGGCAGGCGUCACACGCAGCGCCAAGAGCACUCACCCCUGACGGGAACACAAUGACCCGAGGACUGGCUGGCUGACUGGGCUCGGUACAGAUAAUACUGUUAAUCGUGCAGAGUGGCAAACAGCUUCCCAGAACAAUGAGAAACCGGCGGAGCGGUGAUGGGAAAAUAUCUCCCACCGCUACCAGACACGCGGCCCCCACAGACAUACGUGAAGAUACGCAGUACGCACAUGCACUAGAAUAUGCACAUGCAUGCCUGCCUGGACCUACACACACACACACACACUUUAACAUGGAACAUUUUGAUUGAGCUCGUAGCUUCCUCUGGGCUCCAAUCAACUCAAGGUGUUCCAGUCUGAUAGAGAUGAGAAGAAAAGGUGAUUCCUACGUUUUAUUCGCACAGAGGACUGUGAAUCACCAGAAAUACUGCUGCCUCUUCUUUCUUAUAAUCUAAGUUCGGCACAUUGCUCUGAAAUUCUGAGUUGUUUUUUCUUUGUUUGGUUUUUGGUGAAAGAUAUCAUGCUCAUAUGUUAUGAAAGACGAUAUAAUUCUUCAAAUAUGUCCACACCAAAGCAAAAUUAAUAUGCCAUCGGUUCUCCAGUGCAGAAAUGUAGCACAGCCUCAGCGAUGCCUUUUUUGCUUGAUCAGCAAGAAUGAACAGUACAGCUGCAAAGACGCAGCGUAGACUGGCGAUGUGGAGAAGCCAUGCAGCGCUGUGUGGUGCUGCUGAAGCAUGGCUGGCUUUGAUUCACGUAACAUCCUUUUCGUUUGCAGAAAGGUCAUUUUCUGGCAUGUUCUUUCUGUAAGUUUCCCCAUGACUCCGUUUUCUACACAGUCAGACUGCUGCUGCUAGCUCUUCAGAUGUCCUCGGAUUGAGUGGCAGCCUCUGCGGUUCGCCUACAUCUGGGGUGUGAGGGGUAUGUGUCGCAAACAGUCACACGUCCCAGAAAUCCACUCUGUUUAUCACCUGCUGACAUUCAUAUUCAUGUCACUAUGCCUUGCCUGUUAUAGGAUUCUGUUGGUCAGCUGACCACCGAGGAUUAUUCUGCCUAAAAGCUGUUGACAGCAUCCGACAGCUUUUACCAGAAAGGUUCUCGAAGUGAUCCCGUCUUCUGAGCGGCACUAAUUUAAUGCUUAAAGAGCCGUUUGCACUGGAGAGGUCUCGCCACAUCCAACGCCGAGGUGGAGGUACAUCGGUUUCCUGUCAAGAAUAUAAAAUCUAACCAGAAAUUGACAUUAAACAAGACAACCAAACUUUAUUCUAAAAACAGGAAUGUGUUUGCAAUGUAGUGACACAGGCAGGAGAGGAAAAUGCCUACAAUGAAGAUAUUAUGGACAAAAUAUGCUGUACGGCAUAUUUAAAAUUCUUGAUAAUUGUCCACAUAAUUAUUUUUUGUGUUUCUAAUCCAUUAUAUACCUAUGACAUAACUUAUUCAGUUAACCUUCCUGAUGGGAUUUGGCAGAAUGUCUGUGUGUUGGUGUGUGUGUGUUUGUCUCUUCACUGUUUGGCUCAUUUUUUGGCAGCCCCGCGUACUCUGCCAUGCAUACGGAAACAUGCAGGACUGGGCCUGGAAUCAAGGUCAGGCCUGGAAAACAAUGUAGGAACACUCCUAAGACCUGACUUUCUGCUGAGUUUGGCAUUGUGCUGCCUGUCCCCCGAGGCCCCGCAGCCAGGAGUCCCCCAUCAUGCUUUUCCAGACCAACCUGUAAUCAGCUGCAGGAAGACAGUCCUACUUAGGGAUGGCGAGACUGUUGGCAUGCUGCUUUUUUUUUUUUUUUUUGAAGAGACUACAUGGUCUUUUGGCACAAACAUAAGGCCUGCUUCAACCACCCAUUGAUUAAAUGUUUCGUAGCGGGAGCCUCCACCCUUAGGUCACACGGAUCCUUGCACACACAUAGUCGGCUAAAAAACCGAAGGGAAGAAAGGAAAAGAUAAUGCAUUUAGACAUUUCAGAUCAAUUUGAUCAAGUGAUUUUCAAUGAAAUCAGAUCAUUUUCUUGUGACAAAAGUGCAGCCUCACAAUCGUCCAAUCCCCAUUUGAAAACUCACAUUUUACUUGCUGAAAAUGUCAAGAGGAAAGACGACACAGGCUGAAAGUACAAAGAGAUGGAGAUCAGAGAGCCCCCAUGCCACUUUUGUGCUGACCUUAAAAGGAGCUGCGCACUGUGCAAACAUCUGGUCCAUCAGCUGGAUCCUAUGCAUCAGCGGGCACAGGGACACACUGGGACAGGUUGGCGGCUGCCUUUGACAGCAACAGUUAAUUUCCAACAUAAUCAAUUUAUGUGCAGCUCCAUAAUAACCAUCUGUGUUCCGCAGGAGGAGGACAGUCCUGAGGAACAGAACAGCGCUGGCUGCUUCUCCUCUCCAUGAGCGACGCCAGGAGCAAGAGGGAGGAGAAGGAAGUGGAGGAGGCGGAAGAAGAGAAGUUGAGGGGACGAGUGAAGGAGGGAAAGGAGGAGGAUGCAGGGGUGAAGAAGAGGAGGACAGGAGAAGUGAUGAUCCAUGGGAGUAAAGACUAAGUUUAGAAACUGAGGGGGGUGAAGGAGAAGUAGGAAAAGUAAACGGGAAAAAAAGUAAGCUGAGAACAAGAUGACCUUUUUAAACAUAGACAGCGAUUGAAGCCUUUGAGGUUAGAGCGGAUUGCAAAAAAGUGCGCCCAUCCUUUGUGCCUUUUUAUUACAUGAUGCAAACACACUGAUCGAUGCGGGUCUCCUCCCCAGCACCCUUCUUUGAAUUUGGUUUCCGCACAAGGUUAGCUCUCUUGGCACUUGAAGCCCACGGCAUCCUCAUCCACCUCCGAUGUCAAAAUGUAGCAGGGAAGGUGUCACUCAGGCGAUUACUGAAUCACCUUACUGAGCCAAUUACACUGUGCGCUGUCAAGGCCAAUGGAAAACAUCGCCUCACACACAGACACCCACAGCUUGGCUAGUGUGAAACAAAACAUGAAAACGGAAUUAAGCUCGAGUGACCCCUCACCCCACUACAUGUAAUUUUCAUGAGAGUAUUCAGCAUAAUGUGCAAGCUUUUGCAACUUCUGAGUUGCUUUGACCUUAAAAGGAAUGUUUUUUGUGAGGGGAUGAACCUUCACAUUGCAUUAGAACAAAAAUGGUGCUAGAUCAUUUGGAUGUUCAGAAAUCUAAAAAGUUAUUUCAUGACUUCAUGAAAAAACCUUUUUCUCUGGAAAUUGUUGUAUUGGUGGGCGAUUCAGCUUUCGUAUUCGCUCGGUGAGAAUGAAGAUGACAGUAUAUUUUAGGGAAUUACUGGCUGCCACAACAAAUUGAACUUCUUCUCUUCCGCAGGUAACCUUUCUAAGCACACAUUUACCGACCCUGUUUUAAACAGAGAUAGCUACGUGUACAUCGUACACAUGUAAAAUGUACUUUUGAGCACAGAUACAUACAAAUAGUGUUCAAACAUCAAAUGACGUCAAAUCCAGCUGCUAGACUGUGUGGUCUAGUGUUUUUUCACACACCACUACUGCUGGAUCCAGUCUACUGGUAGACCUGACCAAAGUCCGUCCAAGCUACCAUCCAUUAUACAUGUGCUGUGUGAAUGUCCAUGUGUCCCCGAACAUCCUCUGCUGUCCUAAUUGACAUGCAGUGGGCCCUAGCAGCUGUGACGCUUUCUCUGCAUGCACGUGUUUAAAUGUGUGUGUGUGUGUGUGUGUGUGUGUGUGUGUGUGUGUGUGUGUGUGUGUGUGUGUGUGUGUGUGUGUAUGGUGUGUAUAGCUCUCAGUAAAGCCCCGGCAUCCUCCAGGCCACCUGGACAUAAUGGCCUUCAGCUGCCACCAUCACCACCAAUACAAGCAGCAGCAAGAGCUGAGUUAGAGACGCUUCUCUACCACAUCCACCCAUUUAGUACACACCUCACACAGCUGUUUGCAAGUGCAAAAUAGACAAUGCAUGCAAACGCAUAACACUAUACCUUCUGAGGACAUAGGUGUACUUUAAAAGCUUUAAAGCUUUAAAAAUGAUGAUGUUUGAAAAGAGGUAUAGUGACCAUCCAGGACGUUCUGUGUGAUACCUAAAAGUUAGGCUAAUUGUUUGAUGUUAACACUGUUGGUGUAGACGUAACUACUCCAUACAGCUGCGGUUUGAUGUGAAGGCCUCUGUAGAGAAGGGAUAGAAAAGCAUACCUUCCUCUUUUGUUCGCAGUGCAUGUAACCUAGCCAGCGCACGUGUGCGUGGUUCGGAUGGGGGUUCGAUCUUCUUCGUUCUCCUCAUCUCCAAGUCUUGAUUCUAUUUUUUUUUUUUAUUUCUUCCUUUCCAAUAUCACAAGCCUUUGAUUCUGUCCCGCUUCUCAAUUCUUCAUGGAACUCCGGCAUUUCAAAGAGUUCUUCUUCUCUCCCCUCCUCCUUCCCAGGCGGAGUGCUGGCCAAGUCUGGGAGAGGGACUGCCCAUCAGAGGUUGGCUGCUAUCAGCAGGGGGCUGCAUGUCUCCAAUUCAGGUCAGCCUUGGCUACAGACGGGGACUUAAAAGCAAGCCACAACGCGUCCUGUGAUCCCAGUAAGCACGCUUGUUAGUGGAAUUGAUAACGGACCCAUACACCUGGGUCCUCUGAAGUUGGCAUGGCAUUUUAAAGGGGAAGACCGGGAGCCAGGGCAGCCAGCUACCGCAUGCAAACGUGUCGAACCGAGGAAGGGAGGGUUGGGGGGGGGGGGGGGGGGAAAGGUCUUUUUGGCAUGUGACGAAACAGAAUAUUUUUUGGUGGAGCGACCUAGAACAUUGUGGAAUUAUGUUCAAAUACAGGGCAUAUGGCAUGGAAUCAUUCUGAGAAUCCUAAAUAUGUUUUGGCUUCAUCAUGUUACCCCAUGUCAUUUUCUUUACAAAGUUUGAGUAAUAUGUAAAUGGCUACCAACAAAAUGUAAACACACUUGAGUUCCUUCUUUUCAUUUUCACAUCAACGUGAUGUCGUGUGUGUGUGUGUGUGUGUGUGUGUGUGUGUGUGUGAUUGUGUGAGAGAGGCAGCAGUACAGCUGAUGCACGUACCAGCAUUUCCCUUCCAACACAAGAGCCGUGCUCAGAUGCCACAUUUAUGAUAAUCAGAGUAUAAUUCAUUUAUUGGGUCUACCUUUGCCAUGUGUUGACCCCACGGCCAUGUUGCCAGCUCACAUCUGGCUGCAUGGUGCCGCGCUCAGUCCUGGAUGGGAUUUGCCCCUGGUGAUGGGGCAUCUGGGAGGCCAGAUGAAGCCGAGGCUUGAUGAGUGCUUUGUCUAUUAUGGAUAUGGGGCUUUAUGGAGACAUUGACAGCUGCACAUCGACAGUCUCCUGAGCGGGAGGCCUACUUCAGCAGUUGUGCGCUCCCUGUUGUGGAGAACACAGAGAACAAACGCAAAGCUCUGAGCGUCAGCCGGCUUCUCUCUUAUUACGUGUUUGAAGUAAAAGCUUAAAUUAAAAGGAAGACGUAAGAUGACAGUUUUUUGUUUGGUCUUUCGUUGAAAACCUUUCAUUCAUCAGCGUAGUCGUAAAACCGCACAGUUUAUUUGCUGACAGAAAUUCUAACAAAAGGAAUAUUCAGUAAUUGCAAACAACCUCACAUUAGGCAUUGAUGCACACAUAUGAUGCUGCUCCAAAACGUCUACAUAGACUACGGGUUUUGUAAAACCACCGUAAGCGAUGGGUUGCGGAUCGAAGCGGUGGAUGGAGAGAACUCAAAAAUGAAAGAUCACCCACCGACAAGAGACGUGUAGCUACAGACCAGGCAAGCCGAGCCGACGUUCUCCAACCUUCCCUCCUGCCCGCCAUUUGUGAAGGAUUUGGGGAUUUCAUAAUUUCCUGUUCUUUCUGAAAGGGGGAUGGCAGCACCUGGUCCACACAGCUGUACUUCAUUUAGAGAGCAAUUUGAAAAGAGCGAGGGGGAGAGGAGAGGAGCGGAGCAGCCUUGUCAUUAAGGGCUCCAGAAUGGCCUCCGUUUGUUAGACACAUGGCACAGAGUUAAUGCUGCUGAAUGGGGAAUAGACGCUGUUGAUGCUGUCACAAAAUUUUCAUAAGUGCUACGACAUCUGAAAAAGCCACUCCAAGUGUGGGGAGGGAGGGGAAUUCAAAUUUUUUCUUAUCAAAGAGGGGGUUUUUUUGUAGGUAAUUGACAGCUGCGGCUAGGAUGUAAGCACGUGCUUCAGUCUGCUCGGAUGGAUAUUCUAUUUGUGUAGUAUUUCAUCUUUUACGCACCUUGAAGUUUGUUGCACACAGGUGAUGGCACUGCUGGAGUUAGUUGCAAUGAGUUGACAAUGAGAAUGAAACCAGAUUGUUGGUAAACUGAGGUGAUGCAAAGGUUUGUUGUGCGGAUGCGCAGCUGCCUCGCCUCUUCGGAGUUGAUCUAAUUGAUUUUGACGUGCACAUGUGCAGGGGGAGAAAAAAUUGUGAGGCGGGAUCAAAGGCAAGCGCUUUAUUGCCACAUCACAGGCCCCUGCUGCAUUUUGAAUUCUACCAAUCUGUCAAACAGUCAGAUAAAAUCCUGCAAUGAAGAGAUGCGCUUCUCUCUCUCUCUCUCUCACACUGUCUCUCUCUCUUCCCCUCCCAUCCUCUCGCUCUCAUGCUCGCUCCUUCCACGCUGCUCAUGAAUCCUUCGCUCUGUCUCUCCUUUAGAGUAAAUCUCAAGUGGUAAGAAGUGAUGCAAGAAGGCGGUAUGGAAACACUGAUCCACAAACGUAAAAACAACUUUCCACUUGUCAGGGACUUGACAGAUGUUAAAGAAAUAGAAAUAGAAAUAGAGAGUACAGAAAGUUGCAGAGUGCCACAAACUUCUUAACUGUGCAAUUGCAAGUGGGUCUAUUUGUUCUUCACUUUGAGACAAAUUUCUUUUUUUACUUUUUAUCAUGAAACUAAGUGACUAUUUACACCGGAGAGUCACAAAGUAAAAUUCAUCCACACGUCAUCUCAGAUUGAGUCAUGCCAUUUUAUCUUAUGUGGGGUGUUAUAUUUGUAGUAAAAUUUGUCGUACAGAGCAAGAUGGAUGGCAUGCUUAAUACUAUACUAUACUACACCUCUAUUUUCUCACUUUUUGCUCAUAGUCCAGCAAUCCAGGUGAAAUUAGACAAGUUCCAAAAAUGUAUUUUAUAACUGCUAAUUUCAUUGCAUCUUAAACAAUGAUUUCUAUCUGCAAAAGAUAUGAAGGCAACUCUUAAGCGGGAACAAAUAUAGCACACACACACACACAACAGAAACUCUUUUGGUUUCACACCUUACAAGCACACAAUAAAGCACCCGGCUGUCUCUUUCAGUGGUUAGCCAUCUUGCCUGCGCGGUGCGCAGUGGGCCUGCGCUCUGUGCUCAUUGUUAAUGGGAUGUUAGUACGUGGCUCUGAAAGCGUGUGCCUGUGUCUGUGGGCAGAGUGUAAUAACAGAACCACAGUUGGACUAACCACGCUGAGCACAAAAUGAGGAGAUGAGGGUAACAGACGCACACACACACACACACACACCUGGCAGGUGUGUGAGGAGGCUGUGUGAUAUGGUGCCGGGCUCCCACAACCGACCGGUCUCAGAGAGCUUCACAAAUGAGUCAGAAGCAAAUCCUGUAACAAGAACACCAGUAGAGAAUAUCUCCACUCAGCCCAGCCAUCCACUGCCAAAAUGCAUAUUGUAUAAUACAUUUGUUCACUCGAUCUCACCUCACGCCGUAAGCCUCUUCCAACAUUCAUUGACACUGACAUGACAGUGACGGAUUCCUCAGUAAGAACUGCAACUAAGCGGCGUCCUCUGCAACCACACAGCGACUCGAUGAGAUCUGCCUGGAAACUUGUGAGUGGGCUCUGCUGUUAGUCGAGUGUGCCUUUGGCAGGGCAGUGGUGGUAGUG
ensembl:lncRNA